AUUGAACGCUGGCGGCAGGCCUAACACAUGCAAGUCGAGCGAGCGGCGGACGGGUGAGUAAAGUCUGUGAAACUGCCUCAUGGAGGGGGAUAACAACUGGAAACGGUAGCUAAUACCGCAUACCAUCAGAUGUGCCCAGAUGGGAUUAGCUAGUAGGGGGGGUAACGGCUCACCUCUGCGACGAUCCCUAGCUGGGCUGAGAGGCUGACCAGCCACACUGGAACUGAGACACGGGCCAGACUCCUACGGGAGGCAGCAGUGGGGAAUAUUGCACAAUGGGCGCAAGCCUGAUGCAGCCAUGCCGCGUGGAUGAAGAAGGUCUUCGGAUUGUAAAGCACUUUAAGUUGGGAGGCGUUACCAACAGAAUAAGCACCGGCUAACUUCGUGCCAGCAGCCGCGGUAAUAC
rnacentral:rRNA from 1 species